rnacentral:rRNA from 1 species
UACGGGGGGGGGCAAGCGUUGUUCGGAAUUACUGGGCGUAAAGGGCUCGUAGGCGGCCAACUAAGUCAGACGUGAAAUCCCUCGGCUUAACCGGGGAACUGCGUCUGAUACUGGAUGGCUUGAAUCCGGGAGAGGGAUGCGGAAUUCCAGGUGUAGCGGUGAAAAUGCGUAGAUAUCUGGAGGAAUACCGGUGGCGAAGGCGGCAUCCUGGACCUAACUGACGCUGAGGCGCGAAAAGCGUGGGGGAGCGAACAGG